rnacentral:rRNA from 1 species
ACUCAAAUGAAUUGACGGGGGCUCACACAAGCGGUGGAGGAUGUGGUUUAAUUCGAAGCAACGCGAAGAACCUUACCAGGUCUUGACAUACCGGGAUUAGUCGCGUGAAAGCGCAAUGAUUACCCGCAAGGGUGUAACCGGAACAGGUGCGGCAUGGCUGUCGUCAGCUCGUGCCGUGAGGUGUCAGGUUAAGUCCUUUAACGAGCGAAACCCCUACGAUGAGUUGCCAACGGGUAAAGCCGGGAACUCUCAUCGGACUGCCGCGAAAGCUGGAGGAAGGUGGGGACGACGUCAAGUCAUCAUGGCCUUUAUGACCUGGGCUACACACGUCCUACAAUGGUCGGUACAACGGGAAGCAGAGCCGCAAGGUGAAGCCAAUCCCUGAAAGCCGUCCUCAGUUCGGAUUGUGGGCUGCAAUUCGCCCACAUGAAGCUGGAAUCGCUAGUAAUCGCGGAUCAGCCACGCCGCGGUGAAUAUGUUCCUGAGCCUUGCACACACCGCCCGU